rnacentral:lncRNA from 1 species
CAAAGGCUGCGGAGCGCCAGGCCCGCGGGCUCCCUCCCAGCUCUGCCCCCUCGGCAGCUAAGGGGGAUCGGGGACGGGGGCGGGGCCAGGUGGGCGCGAGGCGACCUCCGGCCGCACUUUCCGGGAGGGAGGGAGGGCGCGGGAGCCAGGUGCAGGCGGCCCCGCUCCAGGAGCGGCGGCAGGUGCAGGCGGCGGCCCGUGCAGGAUGGAAAGACUGACGGACUGAGGAACAGAGUAAAAGCCAUCUCCCUGCCCCCCUCCCCCGCGGCCGGCCCGGGGCCCGCGCGCUGCCCCGGCCUAGCUCCCCCGCCCGNNNNNNNNNNNNNNNNNNNNNNNNNNNNNNNNNNNNNNNNCCCCGCCCCCGCCGCGCCGGGCCGUCCCCCGGGCCCGGGACGCGGAGGACGCAGAGAAACUUCCCAGAGGCGCCAAAUCCAAACUCCCAGGAAACCUCCUGGUCCUGCGCCCACCGCUGCCCGGAGGCAGGGCCCGGCCCCCGUCUCCCGUAGACCACCCAGCCCCGACUCCGGCUCAGGCCCUAGCCCCGGGGCGCCGCGCGGGGCCUGCCCCUCCGCUCCGCCUAGCUCCGCGCCGCGCCCCCGGGACCCUCCCCCUGCCCGGACCCGGGAAACUCCUCCGUCCCGCGCCCGCCGCCGCCAGGACCGCCCUCCGCGCCCGUACCGCCCUCGUCCGCGCUCCCGCCCCCGCGCCGCCCGGCCGCUCACUCACCGGACGCAGCCUGAGCCGCCAUCUUGCGAGCUCGCCACCCGGUGCGGCGGUGACGGUGGUGGCGGCUGUGGGAGCAAGAGCAACAGUGGCGGCGGCGGCGGCAACAGCAACAGCGGCAAGCGGCGGCGGCGGCGGAGGAGAACCGGCCGCCUGCGUCACGCUGUGACGCCUAAGCCCCGGCCACGCCCCCUCGCUCCCCAGCCUCGAGCCGCGCCCCUCCAUGCCUCGGCGCUUCCCAUUGGGGGACUCGUGGUGGGGGCGGGGGCGGGGGGUGGGGUCUACAGUCCGUGUCAGGGAAUUCUCUCUGGGCGCCUCACUCUGUGA